rnacentral:rRNA from 1 species
AGUUGUGACAUUUGGCAUCUGGUGGAUGCCUUGGGACAUCUCUUCGGUUCUGCGUUGACCAUAACGAAAUGCAGGUUAACAUGCCAAUGUCUUGACAUUGGUAAAUGCCGUCAACGCAGGGAACUGAAGCAUCUUAGUACCUGUAGGAAAAGAAAUAGUAUAGAUGUCGUGAGUAACAGCGAGCGAAAGCGAACUAGGCAAAUGCAUUGCCAAAUGCCAAAGAUGGUCGCUUGGAAUGGCGAGUUAUGACUGGUAAUACCCCAGUCCAUCAUCAACAUCUGGCAAUGUUAAUAGUAGAUCGAGCCAUGACAAGCUCGUUCGAAGAUAGGAGGACCACCUUCUAAGCCUGAACAUAGAGGUGUAUACCGAUAGUGGACAAGUACCAUGAGGGAAAGGUGAAACAGAGCCCUGAAUAGGGCAGUGAAACAGAUCCUGAAACCGGAUGCUAACGAUCAGUCGGAGGGUCCGAAGACCUGACGACGUACCUUUUGUAUAAUGGGUCAACGAGUUAUUGACUGCAAGCAAAGCUUGAAGCGAAGUGAAAGCAAGUCCAAAGGACAACGAAACAAUAGGUUUGCAGCAUUAAACCCGAAACCGAGUGAUCUAACCAUGGACAGAUUGAACGCUAGCAAAUGCUAGCUGGAGGAUCGAACUCGUGUGUGUUGCAAAACACUGAGAUGAUCUGUGGUUAGGGGUGAAAGGCCAAUCAAACUCGGAGAUAGCUGGUUCUCUGCGAAACCUAUUUAGGUAGGGUGCUCGAUCAACCAGGUAGGGGUAGAGCACUAGAUAAGAUUUGCUUGGCUUUGUCAGGCACAACCUUAACUAAACUCCGAAUACUGCCCAUGGUUCAUCGAGUAAACACACCAUGGGCUCUAACGUUCAUGGUGGAAAGGGAAACAACCCAGACCUUGGACCAAGGUCCUUAAAUCCAUGUUAAGUGAGAAAGGCAUCGAUGUUAUAAGACGAUCAGAAUGUUGGCUCAGAAGCAGUCAUCAUCUAAGGAAAGCGUAACAGCUCACUGAUUUCGAACGUUCGAAGCUGAAAAUGUAACGGGACUAAACAUAAGUACCGAAGCCAAGGCCAUUGCCAGUCGAGCAAUGGGGUAGCAGAGCGUUCUGUAAGGUAGAGAAGGCAAGCUGUGAUGCUUGCUGGAGCUAUCAGAAGUGAGAAUGUUGACAUGAGUAACGAUAAUGAAAGCGAGAAUCUUUCACACCGAAAGACCGAGGUUUCCUGUUAAAGGUUGGUCUGAACAGGGUAAGCCGGACCCUUAGGCCAAGCGGAAACGCAUAACCGAUGGCAACUACGUUAACAUUCGUAGGCCAAUUCUGGAUGACCUGCCAUUAUGUCUUGAAGAUCAUUAAUUGGUUGAUUCUUGGGCUAUAUGGCAGCAGGAAACAGUCCAGAUGUUUGACCGUACCUCAAACCGACACAGGUGGUCAGGUAGAACAUACCAAGGUGUUUGAGACAACUAUUAUUGAAGGAACUCGGCAAAAUGUGUGUGUAACUUAGGGACAAGCAUAGCCCAUUGGGCAACAUCCAAUGGGUGUAACACAAAUGGGGAAGACGACUGUUUACCAAAAACACAGGACUCUGCCAAAUCGUAAGAUGACGUAUAGAGUCUGACGCCUGCCCGGUGCUGGCAAGCGAAACAUAAGCGUGUUAAACAUGCGCUUAUUAUAACCUCCAGUAAACGGCGGCCGUAACUAUAACGGUCCAAAGGUAGCGAAAUCCCUAGUCGGAUAAGUUCCGACCAGCAUGAAUGGCGUAACGAUCUUCCCGCUGUCUCCAAUAUAGGCUCAGUGAAAUUGAAAUCCCCGUGAAGAUGCGGGGAACUUAUGGCAAGACGGAAAGACCCCGUGCACCUUUACUGCAGUCUUACAUUGCUAAUGGCGAUGUUGUUUGUGUAGUGUAAAUGAUAGGCGAUGAUCCUCUUGCACCAGCAAGGGUCGAGCCUCCAAUGAAACAUCAUUCGAACAACAUUUCAUGGCUAAACUUCGGCCUCGUCAAUCGAGGCGAAGGACAUUGUAAGGUGGGUAGUUUGACUGGGACGGUCGCCUCCCAAAGAGUAACAGAGGCGAGCAUAAGGUAGGCUCAUGGCGGUUGGAAACCGUCAACAGAGUUCAAUGGCAUAUGCCUGCUAAGACUGCGAGGCAGACAUGUCGAGCAGAGACGAAAGUCGGUCAUAGUGAUCCAAUGGCAUCCAAGUGGAAGGACCAUUGCUCAACGGAUAAAGGUACGCCGGGGACAACAGGCUAAUAACUCCUGAGAGUCCUAAUCGAUGGGGUUGUUUGGCACCUCGAUGUCGACUCAUCGCAUCCUGGGACAGAACAAGGUCCCAAGGGUAUGGCUGUUCGCCAUUUAAAGCGGUACGUGAGUUGGGUUCAGAACGUCGCAAGACAGUUCGGUCCCUAUCUGCCAUAGGCAUAAGGAUAUUGACAAGACCUGUCUCCAGUACGAGAGGACCGAGAUGGACAUACCUCUGGUGUUCCUGUUGGCCAGACCAAGGCCAUGGCAGGUUGGCUAAGUAUGGAAUGGAUAACUGCUGAAAGCAUCAAGCAGGAAGCCAACCUGAAGACAAAUAUCCUACUAAGAAAUGUGAUAGAUCAUCACAUCGAUAGGUCAGAUGUGCAAGUGUGGUAACACACUCAGCUAACUGAUGCUAACUUCGAAAACAAUGACAAA